rnacentral:rRNA from 1 species
AGUGAACGCUGGCGGUAGGCCUAACACAUGCAAGUCGAACGGCAGCACAGUAAGCGCUUGCUCCUACGGGUGGCGAGUGGCGGACGGGUGAGGCAUACAUCGGAUUCUUCUUUUUCGUGGGGGACAUCGUAGGGCAACUUACGCUACUACCGAAUAUGUCCUACGGGUUAAAGCAGGGGAUCAUCGGACUUUGCGUGACUGAAUGAGCCGAAGUCGGAUUAAGUAGUUGGCGGGGUAAAGGCCCACCAAGGCGACGAUCCGUAGCUGGUCUGAGAGGAUGAUCAGCCACACUGGAACUGAGACACGGUCCAGACUCCUACGGGAGGCAGCAGUAGGGAAUAUUGGGCAAUGGGCGCAAGCCUGAUCCAGCCAUACCGCGUGGGUGAAGAAGGCCUUCGGGUUGUAAAGCCCUUUUAUUAGGAAAGAAAAGCAGCAGGUUAAUACCCGGCUGUUCUGACGGUACCCAAAGAAUAAGCACCGGCUAACUUCGUG